rnacentral:RNase_P_RNA from 1 species
AGCCGGUCGGGCAGCCGCUGCCGCGGACGCGUGCCUUCGGGCAUACGGUCGACGGGGGAGGAAAGUCCGAGCUCCAUAGGACAGGGUGCCAGGUAACGCCUGGGGGGCGCAAGCCCACGAACAGUGCCACAGAAAACAAACCGCCUGCUUGCAGGCAAGGGUGAAAAGGUGCGGCAAGAGCGCACCGCCCAUCCAGCAAUGGCAUGGGGCAGGGAAAACUCCGCCCGGAGCAAGAUCAAAUAGGCCUCAUAUGGCGUGGUCCGCGCCUGGGGCGGGUUGAUUGCUUGAGCCCUGGAGCGAUCCAGGGCCUAGAGGAAUGGCUGCCGCUGCUUGCAGCACAGAACUCGGCUUACAGACUGGCUCAA